UCGAGCGAGCUUGCCUAGAUGAAUUUGGUGCUUGCACCAAAUGAAACUAGAUACAAGCGAGCGGCGGACGGGUGAGUAACACGUGGGUAACCUGCCCAAGAGACUGGGAUAACACCUGGAAACAGAUGCUAAUACCGGAUAACAACACUAGACGCAUGUCUAGAGUUUAAAAGAUGGUUCUGCUAUCACUCUUGGAUGGACCUGCGGUGCAUUAGCUAGUUGGUAAGGUAACGGCUUACCAAGGCAAUGAUGCAUAGCCGAGUUGAGAGACUGAUCGGCCACAUUGGGACUGAGACACGGCCCAAACUCCUACGGGAGGCAGCAGUAGGGAAUCUUUCACAAUGGACGCAAGUCUGAUGGAGCAACGCCGCGUGAGUGAAGAAGGGUUUCGGCUCGUAAAGCUCUGUUGGUAGUGAAGAAAGAUAGAGGUAGUAACUGGCCUUUAUUUGACGGUAAUUACUUAGAAAGUCACGGCUAACUACGUGCCAGCAGCCGCGGUAAUACGUAGGUGGCAAGCGUUGUCCGGAUUUAUUGGGCGUAAAGCGAGUGCAGGCGGUUCAAUAAGUCUGAUGUGAAAGCCUUCGGCUCAACCGGAGAAUUGCAUCAGAAACUGUCGAACUUGAGUGCAGAAGAGGAGAGUGGAACUCCAUGUGUAGCGGUGGAAUGCGUAGAUAUAUGGAAGAACACCAGUGGCGAAGGCGGCUCCCUGGUCUGCAACUGA
rnacentral:rRNA from 1 species